UACGAAGGGGGCUAGCGUUGCUCGGAAUCACUGGGCGUAAAGCGCACGUAGGCGGAUUGCUAAGUCAGGGGUGAAAUCCUGGAGCUCGACUCCAGAACUGCCUUUGAUACUGGCGAUCUCGAGUCCGGGAGAGGUGAGUGGAACUGCGAGUGUAGAGGUGAAAUUCGUAGAUAUUCGCAAGAACACCAGUGGCGAAGGCGGCUCACUGGCCCGGUACUGACGCUGAGGUGCGAAAGCGUGGGGAGCAAACAGG
rnacentral:rRNA from 1 species